rnacentral:rRNA from 1 species
AGCAUAUCAAUAAGCGGAGGAAAAGAAACUAACAAGGAUUCCCCUAGUAACUGCGAGUGAAGCGGGAAAAGCUCAAAUUUAAAAUCUGGCGGUUUCACCGUCCGAGUUGUAAUCUGGAGAAGCGUUUUCCGUGUCGGACCGUGCACAAGUCUCUUGGAACAGAGCGUCAUAGAGGGUGAGAAUCCCGUUUAUGGCACGGACAACCGAUACUUUGUGAUACGUUUUCUAAGAGUCGAGUUGUUUGGGAAUGCAGCUCAAAAUGGGUGGUAAAUUCCAUCUAAAGCUAAAUAUAGGCGAGAGACCGAUAGCGAACAAGUACCGUGAGGGAAAGAUGAAAAGCACUUUGGAAAGAGAGUUAAACAGUACGUGAAAUUGUUGAAAGGGAAACGCUUGAAGUCAGUCGCGUCUUCUAGGACUCAGCCUUGCUUCGGUUAGGUGUACUUCCUGGUUUGACGGGUCAACAUCGAUUUUGAUCGACGGAUAAAGGAGAAGGGAACGUGGCACCUCCGGGUGUGUUAUAGCCCUCUUCGUAUACGUCGAUUGGGAUCGAGGACUGCAGCACGCCCUUGUGGCCGGGGGUUCGCCCUACGUAUCGUGCUUAGGAUGUUGACAUAAUGGCUUUAAGCGACCCGUCUUGAAACACGGACCAAGGAGUCUAACAUGCUCGCGAGUGUUAGGGUGGAAAACCCUUGCGCGUAAUGAAAGUGAAAGUUGGGACCUCUGCGAGGAGGGCACCGACGCCCGGCCCUGAAGUUUUCUGACGGUGCUGCGGUAGAGCGCGUAUGUUGGGACCCGAAAGAUGGUGAACUAUGCCUGAAUAGGGCGAAGCCAGAGGAAACUCUGGUGGAGGCUCGUAGCGAUUCUGACGUGCAAAUCGAUCGUCAAAUUUGGGUAUAGGGGGCGAAAGACUAAUCGAACCAUCUAGUAGCUGGUUCCUGCCGA